CAUCGCCUACGGGAGGCAGCAGUAGGGAAUUUUCGGCAAUGGGGGGAACCCUGACCGAGCAACGCCGCGUGAAGGAAGAAGGAAUUCGUUCUGUAAACUUCUGUUAUAAAGGAAGAAAGGCGGAUGAAGGAAAUGACAUCCGAGUGACGGUACUUUAUGAGAAAGCCACGGCUAACUACGUGCCAGCAGCCGCGGUAAUACGUAGGUGGCAAGCGUUAUCUGGAAUUAUUGGGCGUAAAGAGGUAGCAGCCGGCAGCAAGGGCCUG
rnacentral:rRNA from 1 species